rnacentral:sRNA from 1 species
GGGGGCGAUCGGCUUCGACGUAGGUAACAAACCUCGAGGUGCAUGUCGAGCUUACAAUGAUGCUCGUAAAACCGAUUGUACAACGAUAUAGUUGCAAACAAGAAAGCAUCUAACGAUGCAUUAUUCGCUGACGUAGCAAUAGCUGCUUAAGUGAACCACAAUAAAUGAGUGCUUGUGCUUAUUUAACGUGGUCAUACUACACAAGAUCGCACUUUUAGAUGCCUAUUCUAUGAGUGUUAAACUUUUUAGGAUCGAUGUUUUACCUUUUGCACAUUAAAGGUGUCACAUUUAAAUAUAAAAAAUGAUGCUAAGCAUGUAGUACCAACAGCGGCGGAUUUGCGGACGCGGGUUCGAUUCCCGCCGCCUCCA